UGACGUCGGUUCCUCCUCCUGUGUGAAGUCCGUCAGGAGGAUUUUACGACGUCGCACAGCGACUCGGGUCUUUUUCACCCAGAAUGCCUCGGGCCACAGCGCCCACGUCACGUGGCUUCCUGGUUUUGCGAGACCCAACAAAC
ensembl:snoRNA